AUUGAACGCUGGCGGCAGGCCUAACACAUGCAAGUCGAGCGGAUGAAGGGAGCUUGCUCCUGGAUUCAGCGGCGGACGGGUGAGUAAUGCCUAGGAAUCUGCCUGGUAGUGGGGGAUAACGUCCGGAAACGGGCGCUAAUACCGCAUACGUCCUGAGGGAGAAAGUGGGGGAUCUUCGGACCUCACGCUAUCAGAUGAGCCUAGGUCGGAUUAGCUAGUUGGUGGGGUAAAGGCCUACCAAGGCGACGAUCCGUAACUGGUCUGAGAGGAUGAUCAGUCACACUGGAACUGAGACACGGUCCAGACUCCUACGGGAGGCAGCAGUGGGGAAUAUUGGACAAUGGGCGAAAGCCUGAGACAGCCAUGCCGCGUGUGUGAAGAAGGUCUUCGGAUUGUAAAGCACUUUAAGUUGGGAGGAAGGGCAGUAAGUUAAUACCUUGCUGUUUUGACGUUACCAACAGAAUAAGCACCGGCUAACUUCGUG
rnacentral:rRNA from 1 species